UUGCCUCAGUAACGGCGAGUGAAGCGGCAUAAGCUCAAAUUUGAAAUCUGGCUCUUUCGGGGUCCGAAUUGUAAUUUGUAGAAGAUGCUUCGAGUGUGGUUCCGGUCUAAGUUCCUUGGAACAGGACGUCAUAGAGGGUGAGAAUCCCGUAUGUGACUGGGAUACCUUCAUUCAUGUGAAGCUCUUUCGACGAGUCGAGUUGUUUGGGAAUGCAGCUCAAAAUGGGUGGUAAAUUUCAUCUAAAGCUAAAUAUUGGCCAGAGACCGAUAGCGCACAAGUAGAGUGAUCGAAAGAUGAAAAGCACUUUGGAAAGAGAGUUAAACAGUACGUGAAAUUGUUGAAAGGGAAGCGCUUGCAAUCAGACUUGCGCCUAGUUGAUCAUCCAGGCUUCUGUCUGGUGCACUCAAUUAGGCUCAGGCCAGCAUCGGUUUGGGUGGUUGGAUAAAGGCCUUGGGAAUGUAGCCCUCUUCGGGGGGUGUUAUAGCCCUCGGUGCAAUGCAGCCUACCUGGACCGAGGACCGCGCUUCGGCUAGGAUGCUGGCGUAAUGGUUGUAAGCGACCCGUCUUGAAACACGGACCAAGGAGUUGACCUAAUUAGCGAGUGUUUGGGUGUUAAACCCAUACGCGUAAUGAAAGUGAACGGAGGUAAGAACCCUUAAGGGUGCAUUAUCGACCGAUCCUGAUGUCUUCGGAUGGAUUUGAGUAAGAGCUAAUUGGGUCUGACCCGAAAGAUGGUGAUCUAUACGUGAAUAGGGUGAAGCCAGAGGAAACUCUGGUGGAGGCUCGCAGCGGUUCUGACGUGCAAAUCGAUCGUCAAAUUUGCGUAUAGGGGCGAAAGACUAAUCGAACCAUUCAGUUGCUAGGUGGUUAAGAAGAGAUUUUAAAGAGUCUCCUAGUCCCUCACGGGGCGACACUGUCAAAUUGUUCGGGAACCACCUGUCAAUUUCUAAGCUACUGCAGCCUCUUCGAAAGAAGUAGGUGCGCACCGGGUUAAUGACCUUGGGGAUAGUAAUAAUGCUUAGAUAGGGUGAAUCCGCAGCGAAAUCCUAAGGUACUUGUACUAUGGAUAGCGUUCACAGACUAGACGGCAGUGGACUUGUAAGAAAACAAGUGUAAGAUAUAGUCGA
rnacentral:rRNA from 1 species